GGCAGUCUCCUCCCAGGCCACGCCAGCUCUUUGUCUAAAACGAGAUAAUUUUGAGCCCCCAGAGCCCGGGGGGACCUCCCUGAAUGCCAGCGCUGCGUGUGGCAGCGUCGCGGGCCGGGAGCGGCUCCUUCCCCUCUCACCCCGGACAGCCAGGAAAGAGUGAGUGUCCUCACGGCUCCUUCGCCCCGAUUCGGGGUCCGGUCGGCUAGGCCGCGGGAGCCCGAAUCUGCUCUCCGACCCGUAUCUUUGUGUGCCCUCGGAGUGGCACACGGAGCAGCGAUCGUCGGUACCACCCCCUGGCUCCUAAGCACGCCCGCUCCGCCUCGGAGAGUGAAGGGACCAGAGCUGACUCAGGCCACUCUGCACGUCCAGGGCGCUGGACUUGGAAUUUCCAGACCUGGGCCAGUUCUGCCGUUUGGAAUGAGGGGAAGCAUCUUGGAUAGCAAAGGGAAGUGUCUCAAGAAGCACCUGUCCGGCUGAGGGCCUGGAGGCAGCACAUGCUGCCAAACUGUUGCCGGUGCCACCAGACACCACCUCCCCCAGACCAGGAUGGAUUGGCCCGAGACCUUUCACCUGAGAGCCGAGGGAGGGGAGGGGCAUUGCCGCAGCCUUCGCUGCUGCUUCCCGAGGACCCCCGGACCCUUCCAGGUGGCCUGUAGCGGAGGCCCUCGAUGCGUGUGGUCUACGCCCAGUGGAGUGCAGGCCUUGGCAGCAGGGACUGUCGGAUUUUUUCUGGUUGUUGUUUGUUCUUCAUUCUUGAAGAGGACCGAUGACAUCAUGAGGUAUAAGCGCUUAGCACACAGUUGGGAGAGUAGGCCUGGAAUCAAGCAGUCCACAUUUCUGGAAGAAAUUGAAUUCUGGAAGAAAUGGAAGAAUUAUUCCAGGAAAGACUCUCAAUCUGUGGUUUCUGGGUCUGUCAUUUGGGAGAAACUUUGGCAUUGAGAACCAGGGUAGAGAGAGACAGCAGAACCCUGAGAAAAAGUAUUCUGCCUGGAAUGAAUGUGGGAAAGCCUUCCACCUGAGCAUGGCUCUUACUGGGGAUCAGAAAAUUGAUACUGGAGAGAAACUAGUCAGAAUAAGUUUGUUGCCUUGACAUAACUGACUCCAUUUUGGGUUAGGCCACCAUUUUGUGAUGAGAUGUUUUAAUGUUUGCUUUUCAGUAUUGGGAAUACGCACUUGCAUGAUAUAGUCAGUUCGUACUUAUUGUACAUGGACUGUUCUGCAGACCUCUCUCUCUGCUCAUGGGGCUCCAUUGGGAGCUGCCCCCUCUGUGGGUGUGAGGCCCUCGGCAGCCAAGAGCAGGGACCCUCGGUGUGGGGCUGUGCUGCCACCGCUGUCGUCACCUGCCUGGGAGUUGAAUUUGUGUAAUGUGAAUUUAUGUAAAGCAAGAACUGAAUGUAUAGUUUGGUGAACAACAUGUGUAUGUUUGUAAACAAGUGGUAAACAUAUGGGACCCUCAAUUAGGACAGGCCACCAGUGGGAAAGUUUGGUGAACAACCUUGUCAUUAGCUUGUGUCACUGACCGCCAGUGCACACUCCAAGCUAGACCUGGAAAAGCCCCGUGGAGGCCCCAGCAUUUGGCCUGCUCCUGGUUGUUACUAGGAGCUGGCUCCUGCAUUUCCUCCUCCCCCCACCUUGGUAAUUGGAGCAUCUCCCUAUUCACCUGAGGGCGGUGCUGUCUAAUGGAGACUUGCCUGGGUCUCCCUCAGAGGGAGACACGUGACUGCGACUGAGCAGAGAGAGUCCGGCAUACUGAGGGCUGCUGUCCUGGAAAUCCCUGGGAAACAGGAUGGGUCUGUUCUAGAGGAGAUGAUGAUUGUGUUGUUUGAAGUGUGAUUAAUAAA